CCUACGGGUGGCAGCAGUGGGGAAUAUUGCGCAAUGGGCGAAAGCCUGAUGCAGCGACGCCGCGUGAGGGAUGAAGGUCUUCGGAUCGUAAAACUCUGUCAGCAGGGAAGAACGGUCACUGUGCUAAUCAGCAGUGAAUUGCCGGUACCUGCACAGGAACCACCGGCUAACUCCGUGCCAGCGGCCGCGGUAAUACGGAGGGUGCGAGCGUUAACCGGAUUUACUGGGCGUAAAGGGACAGUAGGCGGUAUGUCAAGUCAAGGGUGAAAUCCCCGGGCUCAACGUGGGAACUGCCUUUGAAACUGGCAAACUGGAGUGUUGGAGAGGAAAGUGGAAUUCCAGGUGUAGGGGUGAAAUCCGUAGAUAUAUGGAGGAACAUCAGUGGCGAAGGCGACUAUCUGGCACGUAACUGACGCUGAGGAGCGAAAGCGUGGGUAGCAAACAGGAUUAGAUACCCCAGUAGUC
rnacentral:rRNA from 1 species